GAGUUUGAUCCUGGCUCAGAUUGAACGCUGGCGGCAGGCCUAACACAUGCAAGUCGAACGGUAGCACAGGAGAGCUUGCUCUCUGGGUGACGAGUGGCGGACGGGUGAGUAAUGCAUGGGGAGCUGCCCAAUCGAGGGGGAUACCAGCUGGAAACGGCUGCUAAUACCGCAUACGCCCUGAGGGGGAAAGGUGGGGACCUUCGGGCCUACCGCGAUUGGAUGCACCCAUGUGGGAUUAGCUAGUUGGUGAGGUAACGGCUCACCAAGGCGACCAUCUCUAGCUGGUCUGAUAGGAUGACCAGCCACACUGGAACUGAGACACUGUCCCGACAGCGACCGGAGGCAGCAGUGGGCAAUCUUGCGCACCCCGGGAAACCCCGAUGCAGCCUUGCUGAAUAUGCCAACAAGGCUCUCGGGUUGCAAAGGA
rnacentral:rRNA from 1 species